AGAGUUUGAUCAUGGCUCAGGACGAACGCUGGCGGCGUGCCUAAUACAUGCAAGUCGAGCGGACCGACGGGAGCUUGCUCCCUUAGGUCAGCGGCGGACGGGUGAGUAACACGUGGGUAACCUGCCUGUAAGACUGGGAUAACUCCGGGAAACCGGGGCUAAUACCGGAUGCUUGAUUGAGCCGCAUGGUUCAAUUAUAAAAGGUGGCUUUCAGCUACCACUUGCAGAUGGACCCGCGGCGCAUUAGCUAGUUGGUGAGGUAACGGCUCACCAAGGCGACGAUGCGUAGCCGACCUGAGAGGGUGAUCGGCCACACUGGGACUGAGACACGGCCCAGACUCCUACGGGAGGCAGCAGUAGGGAAUCUUCCGCAAUGGACGAAAGUCUGACGGAGCAACGCCGCGUGAGUGAUGAAGGUUUUCGGAUCGUAAAACUCUGUUGUUAGGGAAGAACAAGAACCGUUCGAAUAGGGCGGCACCUUGACGGUACCUAACCAGAAAGCCACGGCUAACUACGUGCCAGCAGCCGCGGUAAUACGUAGGUGGCAAGCGUUGUCCGGAAUUAUUGGGCGUAAAGCGCGCGCAGGCGGUUUCUUAAGUCUGAUGUGAAAGCCCCCGGCUCAACCGGGGAGGGUCAUUGGAAACUGGGGAACUUGAGUGCCAGAAGAGGAGAGUGGAAUUCCACGUGUAGCGGUGAAAUGCGUAGAGAUGUGGAGGAACACCAGUGGCGAAGGCGACUCUCUGGUCUGUAACUGACGCUGAGGCGCGAAAGCGUGGGGAGCGAACAGGAUUAGAUACCCUGGUAGUCCACGCCGUAAACGAUGAGUGCUAAGUGUUAGAGGGUUUCCGCCCUUUAGUGCUGCAGCAAACGCAUUAAGCACUCCGCCUGGGGAGUACGGUCGCAAGACUGAAACUCAAAGGAAUUGACGGGGGCCCGCACAAG
rnacentral:rRNA from 1 species